CGUGUAGGCGGCGAUUUAAGUCUGGAGUGAAAGUCCUGCUUUUAAGGUGGGAAUUGCUUUGGAUACUGGAUGGCUAGAGUGCAGGAGAGGUUAGUGGAAUUCCCAGUGUAGCGGUGAAAUGCGUAGAGAUUAGGAAGAACACCAGUGGCGAAGGCGAUUCUCUGGACUGUAACUGACGCUGAGGCUCGAAAGCGUGGGAGCAAACA
rnacentral:rRNA from 1 species